ensembl:lncRNA
UGCCUGUGCGCUUGCUACUCGCGGCCGCCGGCCAGUCAGUGCAGAAUCACACACGGGCAGGCUCGCUGCUGCAGCAAUCGCUAGGCAAGAGAGGCCGUGUGACUCAAUCAUUACACACGUUGCUUGGCGCCACGAUCAUGUGAUAGAACCAAAUAGAAAGUAAAGCAGCUGCUUCCAGCGUUUCGUUUCCUGCACGAUUGCUAAACUUCCUGUUUUUCUUCUCACUCCUCUACAACACAUCAGCUGUACAUGAAAGACAAGGGGCUUGAUGGCUUUGGAGGCGGCGGGAGAUCUCUAUGCCCUGAAAUGCAGUAUGCCACACCAUUUUCUCCAGACCCCCCACAGAAUCCACUUUGGGGACUUCACUGUUGGUCACUGGCUGGAAGGAGGUGCAAAGAAUGGGCUGGACAGCUCUGAAAGGGAAGCUGAUAACUUGACAGAUGGUGUAAAAACAGAGAAAACUGCAGCUCUGGAAAAGGUCUUGUCUGCCCUCACUGGACUCCUAAAUGAGUACAAGUCAGGCUUGAGGAUUAAGAAAGUACAGGAUUUUUUGCUUCUCAGGCAUGGCAUUGAUCUGCAGGAGUUCUGCGUUGCUCAAGGUUACAGGGACAUGCUGGAAUUCUUGGAUCAUCAUAUGCCUCAACUGGACAUCAGAGGCCGUGAGAACAGUGUUGGCUUUGUCGUUCAGCUUCCUGAAGANAUUUCUGCACCCCCUAUUUCUGCUGUUGCUGAGAACCUUAUGGAAAGCCUAGCAUGUCAGGCACCAGCACUGAUUCGGGACAUCCUCGAGAGCCACCCGCAUGGUCUAAAAAUGAAGAAGCUAAGUGAAGUCUUAAAAACGAAGUAUGGGUUUGACCUAGAAUCAUUCUGUUGUGUCCUUGGCUACAACAGUGUGGAGUCUUAUCUACAGGACAUUCCUGGGCUGUUUAGGACCCGGAACUGUGUUAUCCGCCUUCGGCCACGUUCCCCAAGUCCUGCUCCUUCCCUGGACACAGAUUUUUCUGCAUGCUACUCAAAUGGUGCUCAUGAGNAGUUAACAACAAAAGAUUCUGGUAAUGUUGCUUACAGAUUCUGGCUAACAAAAUCCACAUUUGAUCCCUGAACAACUUGCUUCUUCUUCUGUGGGUUUUUAUGCAUGAAUGGCCAAAGUGGGGCACGUUUUGACUACAGUGUGCUUCAAGAAAGUAUCAACGAAAGGACCACAUUCACUCUCUUGCAAUCAACCUCUAUUUGCCUUGAUCACCUGCAGAUCUUUACCUGUACAGAAGAGCACUUGGUAACUUUUUUGUCCUGUAUGAGUUUGCUCUGUACAAGCUUUAAGGAAUCAGAAAAAGACCACUGUCUUAUUUUCAGUGUAGUAGCAAAUCGCCGUUAAGAGAUGCUUAAGUGAAGAAUAUUCAAGUCCCAUUCAAUUUUGGUCUGAUUAUAUUAUUCCAUCUGUUGUUACCUGUGUGACAGAAGAUGCCAAGCACUGUUGAUAUGGCCCUUUCUGCCUAGUUUUGUGUAUUUAAAUGCUCUGAUCAAGAUGCUGACACAGUCCUCCAGGGUUAAAGAUGGGCAUGAUUUCUAUAAAGUGGUUCCCCUUCAGUCAGCAACAUCCAAUACAGUGCUCUUGAUGUAUUUUCAGUUUUAGUGAAACUGCUGACAUGGUGGUAGGUGAAUCACAGUUAUUCACCUUCUGCACAUCUCAGCUCCAGUUUAGAUCUAAAUUAAACAAGUCUCCCUUUCUCCCUUAAUUGACUGUGGCUGACUUUGCUGGCUGUUUUCCAUGGUGUUCAGGGCUUUCAGGUCUCUUUGCUUUCCUGUAAGAAUCUCUUCAAUAUCCAUCUCAACUAUGUCUUUCCUUUUGCACUUCUGGUAGGGGCUGCCAGCACUACUCCUGCUUUGGACAGUGAUGUGUCUGCGGGUAGCUGGAAUGCUGUGUCCCAGAAAAAGAUAGCAAAGAAGCCUGGUAAGAUUGCAUUUCAACUCUUUUGGUAUUCUGAGUAAAACAGGAGAAGCUUUAUGCNUGGUCUCCCACAAUUUCACUUCUUAAUGCUUGCUAGCAACGCUUGGCCAUUUGUCCCAUAUGCCCCUUCCUGAUCUGUUUAACAGAAAUAUUUAACAGGUAUUGUAAGCAUUCGCAAUAUGGAUAAUUGCUUUGGAUCUUACUGCAUGACACGCAGACUGCAUCCAGACACGUCCUGGCUAACAGAGGGUUGGGGGGAGGGCUAAGGAAAGAGGUGUACUCUGGAUGUGGCCACCUCCUGCCCCAGUGGCCAUUUGGAGUAACACGAUAUUGGAGCAGGAUCUCCUACUCUGAUGCCAUCCAGAUGACCAAAUCAUUGUGAAGGAUGAUGUCUGAUGAUAGUUGUGCCAUCCCUCAUGCCGGCUGGAAACCCGGAAUUUUGGACAUCUGAGGCCCACGCAGUAUCUGAGACCCAGCUUCCAGAACCAUUUCAAGUCCUUUGCUAGAGAGGCCUUCCAGGGAGUUUGUCUCCAUGAACGGUCUGUUAAUUGCCAAAUUAUUAUUGUUUCCUGUUGAUAUAUCAGUUUCCCCAGUUUUGGGGACUCAGUAGGGAUGCUUCUUAGGAAAAGCGCAUAUUUUUCCUGUAGGGAUUGCAUGGUGUUUUUCCAAUCCCAUUGAGUAUUUAGAAAAUCAAAGCAGAUUUUUAACCAUAUGUUUGGGAUCACUUAUUGAAACACGCUUACUGAUUUAUCAGUAUGGGCUUUGACUGAAGGCAGGUCCAAUUCAGCUAGGACAAGAAAAGCCAAAGCUGUAUUGGGAAAUCCCAAUAAUAUUUUGCAGAAUUCACUUUGAAUCUUUUCUAGUUCUCUAAUUCUCAUUCUGCCCCCAAAUUUCUGUCCUCAAACAAUAGAGGGAUAGCCUUACUGUAGAAGAGGUUUUAAAGAGCUCUAUUAAUCUACUACCUUUUGUACAAUAAAAUUUCAUUAUUGCCGUGACUUUAUUGUCA